rnacentral:rRNA from 1 species
UACGUAGGGUGCGAGCGUUGUCCGGAAUUAUUGGGCGGAAAGGGCUCGUAGGCGGUUUGUCACGUCGGGAGUGAAAACUCGGGGCUUAACCUGGGAACUGCGUUUGAAACUGGAAGGCUAGAGUGUGGCAGAGGGGGGUGGAAUUCCACGUGUAGCAGUGAAAUGCGUAGAGAUGUGGAGGAACACCGAUGGCGAAGGCAGCCCCCUGGGCUAACACUGACGCUCAUGCACGAAAGCGUGGGGAGCAAACAGG